UGGGUCGGCUGGACGGUCGCGGCAUUGCCGAGGAACGUCCGGGCUCCAAAGAGCACGGUGGUGGGUAACGCCCACCUGGGGUAACCCAAGAGAUAGUGCAACAGAAAGUAAACCGCCCCCUAGGGGGUAAGGGUGAAACGGUGGUGUAAGAGACCACCAGCGGAUUAGGAGACUAGUUCGGCUAGGUAAACCUCACCGGGAGCAAGACCAAGUAAGAAGACGCUAAGGACUGCUCGUUUAGUCUUCGGGUAGGUCGCUAGAGCCACUUAGCAAUUUGUGGCCGAGAUAGAUGGCCGUCAGUGCUUAGGCAUUACAGAACCCGGCGUAUCGGCCGACCCAUCUC
rfam:Candidatus Aquiluna sp. IMCC13023 C3_IMCC13023, whole genome shotgun sequence.